AGGACGAACGCUGGCGGCGUGCUUAACACAUGCAAGUCGAGCGGAAAGGCCCUUCGGGGUACUCGAGCGGCGAACGGGUGAGUAACACGUGAGUAAUCUGCCCAUCGCUUCAGGAUAGCCAUCGGAAACGGUGAUUAAUACUGGAUAUGACAUUCCUUCGCAUGUUGGGGUGUGGAAAGUUUUUUCGGCGGUGGAUGUGCUCGCGGCCUAUCAGCUUGUUGGUGGGUAAUGGCCUACCAAGGCUUUGACGGGUAGCCGGCCUGAGAGGGUGACCGGCCACACGUGGGACCUGAGACACGGCCCAGACUCCUACGGGAGCAGCGAGGUGGGGAAUAGUUGGACAAGUGGGGACGGAAGCCUGAUCCGAGCAACGCGCGUGGAGGAUGACGGUCCUUCGGGUU
rnacentral:rRNA from 1 species